CCCCAACCCCAGGAUUCCUAGCUGUCUCCACUUGGUGAUCAGCACUGAAUACAGGAGACUCACUAUGGAGUUUGGGCUGAGUUGGAUUUUCCUUGUUGCUAUUUUAAAAGGUGUCCAGUGUGAGGUGCAGCUGGUGGAGUCUGGGGGAGGUUUGGUCCAGCCUGGGGGGUCCCUGAGACUCUCCUGUGCAGCCUCUGGAUUCACCUUCAGUAGCUCUGCUAUGCACUGGGUCCGUCAGGCUCCUGGGAAAGGCCUAGAGUGGGUUGGACGUAUUAGAAGCAAAGCUAACAGUUACGCGACAGAAUACGCCGCGUCUGUGAAAGGCAGGUUCACCAUCUCCAGAGAUGAUUCAAAGAACACGGCGUAUCUGCAAAUGAACAGCCUGAAAACCGAGGACACGGCCCUGUAUUACUGUACUACAGACACACAGUGA